GUCUACGGCCAUACCACCCUGAACACGCCCGAUCUCGUCUGAUCUCGGAAGCUAAGCAGGGUCGGGCCUGGUUAGUACUUGGAUGGGAGAAUAGAACACUUAAUGGACAGUAGCCU
ensembl:rRNA 5S_rRNA 5S ribosomal RNA